UUUUGAAGUCGUGUUGCCGACGACCACAUGAGCACGCGACAGUACAUAGUGACCGAUGUUAACAUAUAUAGUGACUGUAAACAGCAUCUAAUGUGUAUUAAUCGUGAAUAAAACAUGUAUUUACUGGGCAGCCGAGUGUAUGUUAAAUGUUCAAGAUGCCAUUUUGCUUUAUGUUUGAGAGAAGCGCAGCGGUGUCAGAGUUCUGCAGCACCUCUGGAACAGGCCGACUUCUUGAAAGGUGCUCCUCAUCGAAAUCACCCAGGUGUGACAAACCUCAAAACAGUGCACCUGCCGGAGCAACUGCAGGUAGCAGCACAAUCCGUCUUACAAGGGGCAGAUGUCAAAAGUCUGACUGAAAGGGCACAUAAGCUGUCCAACUUCCUUUGGAGCAGGAAGCGGGCGAUAGAAACCUCACAACUCAGGGAGAAAGCCAGCUUUUUCGAGAGGAAAUUUUUGGAGCAAGAGAGAGAUAAAGAUGGCAAUGACCACAAACUAGAGGCUCGAAUAAGAAACAGAGUAUUAUCUGAACUGAGAAAAACGACAUACCACAGGACUCCCCUAAGGUACAACGAAGAUCUUGGGUUGGUGUAUAUGGCUGCUAGACUGGCAGGUGGUUAUGCUGCUGUCCUCAGAGCAUUACAUGAGAUUAAGAAGAGAGAUCCUUUGUUUGUACCAUAUUCUCUAAUGGACUUUGGAUCAGGACUCGGAACUGGUACAUGGGCAUCACACUCACUCUGGGGAGACUCUCUGAAGGAGUAUGUUUGUGUAGACAGCUCUGGAGACAUGAACACCUUGGCAGAACAACUUCUUAGAGGGGGCAGUGAGAUGGAUAAUCCAGUAAUCAAACAAGUAUAUUUCCGCCAGUUCCUCCCUGUUUCUCCUAAGGUGCAGUUUGAUCUUGUGGUAGCUGCUUUCUCUUUGUCAGAACUGGACACACUGAACGAGCGACUGAACGUUAUUUUCACACUUUGGAGAAAAACCAACUCCUACCUUGUAUUGGUGGAGAAUGGAACCAAGGAUGGCCACCAAAUCCUUAUGGAGGCCAGAGAUGCUAUACUUAACAGAGAAGAGGAGGUACAGCAUGACUUGAGGAGACCAUCAGUAUUUGCCCCUUGCACUCAUGAGCUGCCUUGUCCCAAGCUGAUCAAGCGACCUGUAGUACCUUGUAACUUCACUCAGUUCUACUAUUCUCUGCCCUUAUCUCGGAGCCAAGAAAGGCAGCAGGAGAAGUUCAGUUUCCUGAUUAUAUCCAGGUCCAAUGGAGAGAAGGCUCGGGAGAUGGAGAACUGGGACAUGGCCAGACUGAUUGCACAAGUCCGUCGCCGACCCAGACAUGUUCAGUGUCAGCUGUGCUGCGCCAAUGGAGAACUCAAACAACUCGCUGUAACGGCCCGUCAUCAUGGAAAGGACAUGUACAGAUGUGCUCGUAGCAGUGACUGGGGAGACCUGCUGCCGAUAUUUCAUGCGGAAGAUGGCUCUAAAAAUGACGAGACGCAAUGAGACCUACUACUAUAAUCUGUUAAUGCAGUGUUUGUGGAUAACAGUUGGACUUUUGUAAUGUUUAUUUCCAAAUAUACUAGUUCAUCUAUACAACCUGAUUGUGAUUUGCUAUUGCACUGAACCCAAUGCUCAAUAUUCACCAGUAUCAAAAUCCAAAUGAGUUAAAGUUGCAAUGUGUAAAUUUUAGGAGGAUCUAUUGACAGAAAUGCAAUAUAAUAUACAUAACUAUGUUUUCAGUGGUGUAUAAAACCCUUACAUAAUGAGCCAUUAUGUUUUUAUUACCUUAGAAUGAGCCAUUUCUAUCUACAUACACCGCAGGUCCCCUUACAUCGAAUUCGCCAUUUUGCGCCAGCAUGUUUCCUACAGUAGCCCUAAACCAAAGUCCCUUUCAAGGAAAGUCUUUUCAAUCGGCAGCCAUUUGCAACACCUACGGGCAAUUAUUUCGGGCAUCCAAGACUAAGUCCUACUUAUUUGAAUGAGGGAAUCCUGAAAUCUCAAAAACUGCUUGGCGAACUCACAAUUAAAUAACAUAUUUCAAAUCAGCAACAAAAUCUGACAUGAACUUACUUUUCAGGCUAGACGAGCCAAUGUGCAUGUGCAGUCCUAAGCGCGAGUCUCAGGUUUCUACGGGAAUUGGAGCCUCUAACGGCAGCUGCGGUGACGCAAUGACUUUAUCAAUCAGCGAUUAGCUCUUUUACUUAGAAGGCGGGACGUAUUCCGCCAUAUUGCACGGUGCAGUUUCUCCCAUUCGUAACUAAUAGGAGUGAACAGUUUUUAUAUAUCUAUAGUCUUUGCCUAAAUGGACAAACUGCUCAGAUGACGACACCUUUGUCCUGUGUCGGCCACCGUAGCUUCUCUAUGUGCUUUGAAAUAUAGGGGUGAGUGGUGGCCUGAGCUGUUGGUUGCAGUUCGCAACCUCACCACUAGAUGUUGCUCAAUUUUACACACUGCACCUUUAAAGUCAGCAUAAUGGAAGUUGCCAUAAGCUGCGUCCGAAAUCGAAUACUUCUCUACUAUAUAGUGCGCAAAAAACAGUAUGCGAACAGAGUAGUAUGUCUGAAUUCAUAGUAUUCGAAAAACAGGAGGCGAAAAGAACCCGAAUGACUUACUACUUCCGGUGAGAUUCUGAAGUGCGCAUACGAUUUACACUUUACUAUCCCAUGAGGCCACGGGAGAGGAUUUGUGAAUGGAGUUAAAGGGACGUAACUGACGCUGGUAGGUCACGUGACAGUGACAACAUGGCGGAUGUAAUACGUCCGAAUUCAUUCAUACUAUACAGAACAUACUUUUUCAGCAGUUGUUAAGUAAAUUUAAAUUCAAAUGUAGUACCGCGAUUUCAGAUGCAGCUAGUCUUUUCUUCCCUACUGUGACGUAUAUCGCAGUGAAACAGCUUCUGAAUAAGAAGGGCGGGGCUUGAUUUUGUCCAUCAGGAAUUGAUUGUAUCAUUGUGGUUUGCUGUUGGUCAUCAUCAGAGAAAAGAUAUGUUGUUGCAAGAGGGAAGGAAAGUAUUUUGAUUGCAAAUUAUGAGGGCGUAUGAAUUUAAAAAAAAUAUGUGCAUGUAUAAAAUAAUAAUUUAUAACAAAUACUGCAAUAUUCCAUAAAAAAAUAAAAAUGGUCAAUUUUGAUUUCAUGUAUACAAUGUCUAUAUGUUCAUAUAAGACUAUUCAAAAAGAGCGGAGGGAGAGUAGUCUGAAUUGGGUUCUAGCAUCUUGUGCUAGCUCACACAUUGAACUCAUUCGCCAGCCGCGAGUGUUUCCAAGUCAGCGGGGAUCGCAUCAGUUGACCUGCUGUAAUCUGCGCAUGUGUCAACGUCUCGUGCGAGAACACCGCGCUGUGACCCAUGUUUUCUGUGCGCUCGCUCAUCUUUUCAGAUGAUGUCCUGUGAGGACAGCUAUUGGCUCUUGUCUCAGACCUUCCCCGAGGUGAAUGGAGGAGUGACAAACACUCAGCAUGUGACCUCUACAGUAAGCUUCCUUCCGCUCCAGUUCGUGACGUCGUCUGCAAGUCCCAUUUUAAGCUCGCUCCGGAACAACACUUUACAUUGAUGGCGCGACUCCAUUAAAUACAUCUGGCUCUGUGGAUGAAUGUUCUUCAUGGGGCUCCAAGGUAUGAGCAAUGAUGCCAGCAAGGUCUGAAACAUGGAUCCAAGGGAAGGGCUGUCGUCCCGAGCCAAGUGUCCCACCCAGGCCAAGCCAAAAGGGAAUCAUCAUCUGUUUCAUGGCACCACCGUCACGCCCUAACACCGCACCUGCAAGGACCCGCCUUUAUGGAAAUGGUGAGUCAAUCUCAUGUUUCUCAUGCUAAUGUGUUGCACCAAGCUGAUGAACUGCAUGUGGUCCGUGUUGAUGAGAGAUCCAAUGAUUUUAUUAACAUGCUCUGAAUAAAAGUGCUCAUUGGUGUAAAUGAACCCUUAGUUUAGUCUAGAUGUUCUAAUAUCUUUGCUAAUUGUGCAGGAACCUCAACUUUUGAAAGAACGUAAGCAGGGAGAUGUUCAAUAAGGUAGGUUUUUUUUAUUUUGAUAAGUAAAUGCAUCCUUGAACAGUCUUGAGUAUUUUUUUUUUCACAAAGUCUGUAUUUUCAUUUCUCUUUAGGUAUUUACUUCAGGUGACCUGGCUUUCUUCUAAGGAGUUGAUUUGAGAUUCACUUUCUUUUCUCUCCCCCUCAUUUAUUUUCUCUUUAUAUUGGCCUGCUAGAGACCAUUAUCUUCUACAGAAGAUUAGAAUAUAACUGACUUGUAGACUUGUGUCCAUUUUGAGUUGUGAUGUCCUAGUUUGAAAGUUGACUGCAAUAUACUGUCAGUGAUGUAAUGACUUGAAACCACCGCAAUAAAUUCUUAUUUAUAUCUGUCUUGA